CAAGAGCGUAUAUUAAAGUUGCUGCGGUUAAAAAGCUCGUAGUUGGAUUUCAGUCUAGGAAGGUUAACUCGCCGAAAGGUUGUUCGUUGAUUUUCCUCAGACUUCGUCAGAAGCUCGUGCUGCACUUAACUGUGUGGUACGAUGUUCUGACCUUUUACCUUGAGGAAAGUAGAGUGUUUCAGGCAGGCUACCCAGCUUGAAUACAUUAGCAUGGAAUAAUGAAAUGGAUCUCGGUUCGAUUUCGUUGGUUCUAGAGCUGAGGUGAUGAUCAAUAGGAACAGGCGAAGGUAUUCGUACUUGAGAGUGAGGAGUGAAAUCCGAUGAUCUCUUAAAGACGAUCCGAGGCGAAAGCAUUUGUCAAGGAUGUUUUCAUUGA
rnacentral:rRNA from 1 species